rnacentral:rRNA from 1 species
GGGUGAGUAAUGCCUAGGAAUCUGCCUAUUAGUGGGGGACAACGUUUCGAAAGGAACGCUAAUACCGCAUACGUCCUACGGGAGAAAGCAGGGGACCUUCGGGCCUUGCGCUAAUAGAUGAGCCUAGGUCGGAUUAGCUAGUUGGUGAGGUAAUGGCUCACCAAGGCGACGAUCCGUAACUGGUCUGAGAGGAUGAUCAGUCACACUGGAACUGAGACACGGUCCAGACUCCUACGGGAGGCAGCAGUGGGGAAUAUUGGACAAUGGGCGAAAGCCUGAUCCAGCCAUGCCGCGUGUGUGAAGAAGGUCUUCGGAUUGUAAAGCACUUUAAGUUGGGAGGAAGGGUUGUAGAUUAAUACUCUGCAAUUUUGACGUUACCGACAGAAUAAGCACCGGCUAACUCUGUGCCAGCAGCCGCGGUAAUACAGAGGGUGCAAGCGUUAAUCGGAAUUACUGGGCGUAAAGCGCGCGUAGGUGGUUCGUUAAGUUGGAUGUGAAAUCCCCGGGCUCAACCUGGG